rnacentral:rRNA from 1 species
UACGUAGGGACCGAGCGUUGUCCGGAAUCAUUGGGCGUAAAGAGCGUGUAGGCGGCCACUUAAGUCCUGCGUGAAAUCUUGCGGCUCAACCGCAAGCGGUCGUGGGAAACUGGGUGGCUAGAGUGCGGGAGAGGAGAGUGGAAUUCCUGGUGUAGCGGUGGAAUGCGCAGAUAUCAGGAAGAACACCGGUGGCGAAGGCGGGUCUCUGGGCCGAUACUGACGUGAGGAGCGAAAGCGUGGGGGAGCGAACAGG